rnacentral:rRNA from 1 species
GCCAGACUCCUACGGGAGGCAGCAGUGAGGAAUAUUGGUCAAUGGGCGAGAGCCUGAACCAGCCAAGUCGCGUGAGGGAAGACGGUCCUAUGGAUUGUAAACCUCUUUUGUCGGGGAGCAAAAAGGCCUCGUGAGGCCACAAGUGAGAGUACCCGAAGAAAAAGCAUCGGCUAACUCCGUGCCAGCAGCCGCGGUAAUACGGAGGAUGCGAGCGUUAUCCGGAUUUAUUGGGUUUAAAGGGUGCGUAGGCGGAAGGUUAAGUCAGGGGUCAAAUGUCGGUGCUCAACACCGGCCUGCCGUUGAAACUGGUCUUCUUGAGUGAGCGAGAAGUAUGCGGAAUGCGUGGUGUAGCGGUGAAAUGCAUAGAUAUCGCGCAGAACUCCGAUUGCGAAGGCAGCAUGCCGGCUCCACACUGACGCUGAGGCACGAAAGCGUGGGUAUCGAACAGGAUUAGAUACCCCCGUA